rnacentral:rRNA from 1 species
UUGACCUCGGAUCAGGUAGGAAUACCCGCUGAACUUAAGCAUAUCAAUAAGCGGAGGAAAAGAAACCAACAGGGAUUGCCCUAGUAACGGCGAGUGAAGCGGCAACAGCUCAAAUUUGAAAUCUGGCUCUCGGGCCCGAGUUGUAAUUUGUAGAGGAUACUUUUGAUGCGGUGCCUUCCGAGUUCCCUGGAACGGGACGCCAUAGAGGGUGAGAGCCCCGUCUGGUUGGAUGCCAAAUCUCUGUAAAGUUCCUUCGACGAGUCGAGUAGUUUGGGAAUGCUGCUCUAAAUGGGAGGUAUAUGUCUUCUAAAGCUAAAUACCGGCCAGAGACCGAUAGCGCACAAGUAGAGUGAUCGAAAGAUGAAAAGCACUUUGAAAAGAGAGUUAAAAAGUACGUGAAAUUGUUGAAAGGGAAGCGUUUAUGACCAGACUUGGGCUUGGUUAAUCAUCUGGGGUUCUCCCCAGUGCACUUUUCCAGUCCAGGCCAGCAUCAGUUUUCCCCGGGGGAUAAAGACUUCGGGAAUGUGGCUCUCUUCGGGGAGUGUUAUAGCCCGUUGUGUAAUACCCUGGGGGGGACUGAGGUUCGCGCAUCUGCAAGGAUGCUGGCGUAAUGGUCAUCAACGACCCGUCUUGAAACACGGACCAAGGAGUCGUCUUCGUAUGCGAGUGUUCGGGUGUCAAACCCCUACGCGUAAUGAAAGUGAACGCAGGUGAGAGCUUCGGCGCAUCAUCGACCGAUCCUGAUGUUCUCGGAUGGAUUUGAGUAAGAGCAUACGGGGCCGGACCCGAAAGAAGGUGAACUAUGCCUGUAUAGGGUGAAGCCAGAGGAAACUCUGGUGGAGGCUCGCAGCGGUUCUGACGUGCAAAUCGAUCGUCAAAUAUGGGCAUGGGGGCGAAAGACUAAUCGAACCUUCUAGUAGCUGGUUUCCGCCGAAGUUUCCCUCAGGAUAGCAGUGUUGAACUCAGUUUUAUGAGGUAAAGCGAAUGAUUAGGGACUCGGGGACGCUAUUUAGCCUUCAUCCAUUCUCAAACUUUAAAUAUGUAAGAAGCUCUUGUUGCUUAAUUGAGCGUGAGCAUUCGAAUGUAUCAACACUAGUGGGCCAUUUUUGGUAAGCAGAACUGGCGAUGCGGGAUGAACCGAACGCGAGGUUAAGGUGCCAGAGUAGACGCUCAUCAGACACCACAAAAGGUGUUAGUACAUCUUGACAGCAGGACGGUGGCCAUGGAAGUCGGAAUCCGCUAAGGACUGUGUAACAACUCACCUGCCGAAUGUACUAGCCCUGAAAAUGGAUGGCGCUCAAGCGUCUCACCCAUACCUCGCCCUCAGGGUAGAAACGAUGCCCUGAGGAGUAGGCGGACGUGGAGGUCAGUGACGAAGCCUAGGGCGUGAGCCCGGGUUGAACGGCCUCUAGUGCAGAUCUUGGUGGUAGUAAAUC